CUCCAUCAAAAAUGUAAAAGGAAGAAAAAAAGAUGUAACUCAGGCAUUACCCACCUCCAGGUAGCCUUCCUGAUGGCGCCAUCCCCAGGUGGGCUCAGGGGCAGCCUCUGUUCUCCAGGUAUCAGAAGCUGCCUCCCCAGGGCAGUGGUCCCAGGUCAGCUUCUGUAGGAGUCCAGGCACAGAAUGACGGUGGAUGGAUCAGGGCUGAGGGUCAGAGAUGCGGAGAGGCAGACAGCUUUGGGACGCACUUGGUGAGAUCAGUGGGAUUUGCUGCAGGGUGACUGUCAGGGUGCAGGGGAGAAUUCUGGACCGGCCGUGUCUUCAUCUCUUUCUCCCCUCCAAUCCCAGGAGAGCAAAUGAGGCAGGAGGACUUGCGGGCCCGGCUCACUAGCUCCAUCCUCAGGAACUCAAGGACCAUCAAGUUCCGUGGCUGGGAGGGAGCCUUUCUGGACAGAGUCCUGGCCAUCCGAGGCCAGGAGCUGGGCGCCUUGCGGACCUCCGGCCUCCUCUUCUCCGUGUCGCUGGUGUCCUUCCAAGCAUCUACAUCUCUGGUAAUGUCACUCUAGUCUCUAUGCUGAGCAGGACUGGGGAAGGAGUGUGGGGGUCAGGGGGUGAGGUAGGUGGAGCCUCCCAGAUCCUACCACCCUGUCCAUCAAAACCCACACAUUCUGGAUCCUGUUCUCUCGGGGUUCCUGCUGUCUUCUGUGUGAACAAGUUAAUCACAUCAUUCUGGUGAAGGUGGCAGCGGCUGAUGAGGUCUGUUGUUCUGAGAGUUCCAGGCUUCUACUGAUGUGGGAAGGAGUAUUUUGCAUGCACUACA